GUGAGUGGAUCCUGGGAAGCGCUGUGAAAUGGGCUGGCUCCCGAGCCAGCCGGGAGGACACUUACUACAGCUGCUCAGAAGCACCACUGGAAACUCAGGUAAUACCGGCACUUUGAAUUCCUUGUUUCAGGAAAAUAUCUGGGAUGUCACAGUGGAAAAACAGAACAGAAUGUAAUAUAGAAAGCUCUUUUCAGAUCCAAAGAACUGGAACCUGGUUGGAAGAAAUAGGCAGCAAAGUUCAUGUGCACUGAAGUGUUCAGACCAAAAAGUUGCUUUAUAACAAUGGACAAAAGCAUUUGUGAAAGGUGACAAUAAGAGAAAAGGGAAAGAGAACUUUCUUAUGAAUCAUACAGAUACGGGGAAAAAAACAGGCAUGUUUAGAGGAAUGGAACCAGAAUUUCAUGGAGUGGUGCCUGGAGCAGACCUACAGUGGAGAAGGAGCUAU
rnacentral:lncRNA from 10 species